rnacentral:rRNA from 1 species
GAUGAACGCUGGCGGCGUGCCUAAUACAUGCAAGUCGAGCGAACAGACGAGGAGCUUGCUCCUCUGACGUUAGCGGCGGACGGGUGAGUAACACGUGGCUAACCUACCUAUAAGACUGGGAUAACUUCGGGAAACCGGAUCUAAUACCGGAUAAUAUAUUGAACCGCAUGGUUCAAUAGUGAAAGACGGUUUUGCUGUCACUUAUAGAUGGAUCCGCGCCGCAUUAGCUAGUUGGUAAGGUAACGGCUUACCAAGGCAACGAUGCGUAGCCGACCUGAGAGGGUGAUCGGCCACACUGGAACUGAGACACGGUCCAGACUCCUACGGGAGGCAGCAGUAGGGAAUAUUCCGCAAUGGGCGAAAGCCUGACGGAGCAACGCCGCGUGAGUGAUGAAGGUCUUCGGAUCGUAAAACUCUGUUAUUAGGGAAGAACAAAUGUGUAAGUAACUAUGCACGUCUUGACGGUACCUAAUCAGAAAGCCACGGCUAACUACGUG